GAUGAACGCUGGCGGCGUGCCUAAUACAUGCAAGUCGAGCGAAGCGGGGACGGGUGAGUAACACGUGGAGAACAUCCUAUAAGACUGGGAUAACUUAGGGAAAACGGAGCCAAAAAGGCUACUUAGAGCAGGAUCUGCGCUGCAUUAGCUAGUGGGUAAGGUAACGGCUGACCAAGGCAACGAUUGAUAGCCGACCUGAGAGGGUGAUCUGCCACACGGGAACUGAGACACGGUCCAGACUCCGACGGGAGGCAGCAGUAGGGAAUCUUCCGCAAUGGGCGAAAGCCUGACGGAGCAACGCCGCGUGAGUGAUGAAGGUCUUCGGAUCGUAAAACUCUGUUAUUAGGGAAGCGGUACCUAAUCAGAAAGCCACGGCUAACGACGUGCCAGCAGCCGCGGUAAUAC
rnacentral:rRNA from 1 species